GUGCUCUGACGUAGGUAGUACUUGGGUGAAGGACUGCAGGACGUAUAGGUGUACCAAGAUUGUACAGGCUGACUCCAGCAAAUAUUCAAUCUCUCUGGAAAGUUCUCGUGGCUAGAUAAACUUGGCCAGUCUGCGCUACACGGAAAUACGCGAGUCUAUCGAUUUAACAUUUGGGGAGGGAGUUACUCUCUGCUGGACCGUGUAACAUUUUUACCUAAUCCUGAUUACUAUUUGACGUUGUUGUAUAAAAAAACUGUUAGAAGGACACGUCUUUAAUGCGUCAUCAGACUCUCCUUACAUCCGGGCAUACGCUAACUGUGCCAAACCUCAAGGAUACAAGGUUGGUGCCUUGGUGAUUUACAUGUUGAAUGUCAAGGACGAGCCAGUGGUCAUCAAUCUACCACAGUUUGGUAGUCAAGCAAAAGACGUUUAUUGGUUUACUUCAGGUGCCAAAGAUGUACUAAGCCAAGCCAUCAAACUCAAUGACGUCAUAAUGGACAGCUCGGGAGAUUAUCUUCAGCCCGAAAAACAUUCGUGAGCCAAUAGAAAUGCCAGCAUUAAGUUACGGCUUUAUUGUCAUUCCUGAAGCCAAUGUUGAAAGGUGUCAUGAUCAGCCCCCGGCAACAAAAGUUGAAUCUAGAGAAUCAGUGGCGAAACAUACCAAACACUCACACUCUACUGGUAUCAGCACUAGAUUAGAAAUGUGGUUUUUCAAACUCUGUUUGCUUUCGUACUUCAAUGUUAUUUAACGAGAAUCUCGCUAGUUAGCGUUUUGUUGACGACACAACUAAACACUGAUUUUUUUAUAUUAGAAGUAAAAGUAAUAUUUAUAUAAUGAGUGUUUAGUUUAAAAUGUAGAUUGAAAAAAAAAAAUGACAUGCUAAGAUACUUUAACAGCUUUAUCAGUUUCAUUUGUUUUUAAUAUAAUAUAACAUAUUAAUAAUAUAAUAUUACUUUUUUAUAUCAGGGGAGAUUAUUAAAACGGAAGUGAACAACUGCGUUAUUUUUUAAUUUUUUUUGUGUGUAUGUAAUAGGCGUACAGAUUAUGCAAAUUGUGUUUUUGUUUUGAUUCUUGUUUUUUUUUAAAACCUGUUUCUGCGAAAGUACGAAAUGAUCUUUAUAAAAAAAUAUUUUCUCAAAUAGUGAUGAUAGUGUGUCAGAGUCAAGGUAAUUGGGCUUAGAUUUAUUGUAUUAAAAUGAAAAAAAAAAAAGAUAUUGUUGUAGAUUGUGAUUCCUUAAAAGAUGAAUCAUAAACAAGAAAAUAAAAAAAAAAUACUUUAAAAAAAAAAGAGUACUCACAUUAGUUAGUUUGGAUAAGCCAUGUAAUUAAAUUUAUUUAUUAAAUAAUUUAUAAAGAAAAAGGUGGUAACGACCUGAAUUGGAACUCAUGGGCCAGAUAUAUUUUAGUUUAAAACCCUCCAACAGAUGAUGCAACGCUUCAAGAAACACCAGGGAUGCAUUAGGAAUAAGAUAUAUCUAAUAGGAAUAAUUGUAACUGUAGAAUACGCCAACAAAAGUUGAAUUCCUAAAUAUACAUCAACGAUAAAAACUGCAUUAUAGUGUACUCCUAUUUAUUUAAUCACAAAACUCCUGUCCCGGGCACAAUGUAAUAAAGGUUAAUUCACGUGACAAUAACAAGUGUCUAGUCUACAGGGCAUUAAGGUCAACGUCUUCUCCCUUUCUUUAUAUUUAGCUUUGUAAUUGUUAUACUAUUUGAAAUGGUCAUACACAUUCCUCCCCCAGUCCUCGAUGUUUCACCUAGACUCGGCCAGCUAAUUAUCUUAUCUUAUCUUAUAUAAUACAUACGUUACUUCAAAAAAGAAGAUGAUUACGUCCUACGCGUCAUGCAUUUAGUCAUGCAUAUUAACCAAUGACUUAAAUUCUGCCAAGUCACUGGUUUUCCUGGCUAGCUCAGGCAACCCAUUCCAUGCUGUAAUAGCACUAGGGAAGAAGGAGUAUUUGUACAAAUUUGUCCUAGCAUAUGGGACGAGGAAUCUGCCUUUAUCUUUGUGUCUUAUUUAAUUAAAUUUUGUUUUGUAUUUGAAGAUUAUGGUUCAGUGUUUUAUGUAUUAUUGCUACUUUACUUUUGAGCCUUCUGUCCUGAAGGCUUUCUAAAUUUAGUGAUUUUACUAAAGGUGUUACUCUAGUCAAAUGUGAAUAUUCGUUUGUUAUGAAUCGCACUGCUCUAUUUUGUGUCUGUUCUAGUUUCUUAAUGUUUUCUUGAGUUGAGGGGUCCCAAACAGAGGAUGCAUAUUCUAUUAUUGGCCUAACCAAGGUUAAAUAACAUUUUAGUUUUAUGUUCUUAUUUGAUUUAUAGAAAUUUCUUUUAAUAAAUCCUAAUGCUUUGUUUGAUUUUUUUUGUAGUUUCAUCAAUAUGUGGAUUCCAUGACAGUUUUUCAUUUAUUAUAACACCUAGGUAUUUUGCGUUUUUAGUCUGUGUUACUGGUUUGCCAUGAAUAAGAUAAGUGGAAUUAAUUUGUUUUAGUUUUUUUGUUACUCUUAACAACUGACAUUUUUCUGGGUGGAAAGACAUGCUCCAAUUUGAUUCCCAUUUCUGUAAUUCAUCUAAUUCUCUUUGUAAAAUAUCUCUUCUAAGACAGUUUUCCCAAAGUGUGUUAUGCGAUCCUAAGGGUUACAGAAAGAGUUAUAAAGGAGUGCGCGUUGUAUUGUUUCAUUUGUGACUUUUUUAAAAUACAUAUUUAUUUUGUUCAGUUAUUAGAGUAAAUGAACAGUCAAGAACUUUUCAAGCACAAAAAUGACAAAUUAAAAAAAUAAUGAAUGCAGAGAGAAGAAUGUAAAGACUAUAAAGCGAAGGUGAGAAAGUAGAGAUGAAAAUGUGGAUUUGAAAGUGCGAAGAUAAGAAUGUUAAUGUGGGAAUGUGAGUAAAAUGUGGAGAUAAAAUUGUGGAGAAAAAUGACAGUAGCACUUGCAAAACUCGAAACAAUUUGAUAAGUCAAAGGCAUAGCGAUCGACACUAAAUUCAGACCGUUCUUCUAGCGCUGGCCUGGGUUAUUUAAGAACGGGAAGUUGAAAAUUGUGCUGACCAAAAAAAAAAAAAAAAGCGACAUUCAGAGUAAUUAUGAAACAGUAUGUCAAACGGCAAUCUCUUCUCCAUGUAACAUGAAGUUCCUUUUUUAACUCUUUCUCUCCGUAAUUAUUAUUUUUUAAUUCCGAUAGUAUUAUUCAUUUUGUUCAUUUGUAUUUCACUAUCCUGUUAUGAUUAAGCUUCAAUAACUUUUUUUGAUUAUCAGAAAAUGUUAUAGUUGGUAUUGAAUUCUAGGAGACUGCAUGCUCUUUUUACACAACACACAUUAAAGUUUAUAAAUCCAAAAACCAAUUAAGUUUAAUGGGAUUCAAAUCGACGUUGGCAUCGUCAAUUAAGAGAGAAAGAGUUAAAAUGAAAAAUAAGCUUAAAAAUGACUAAAUAUAAAUUUUAAAAUAAAAUAAAUAUUGCUCGUUCUUUUGUCGGGUCUCGCUCUAACACUAACACAGUAGUAACACAACAAAUUUGUCAACAUCUUCUUAUCUUAUCUUAUAUAAUACAGACGUUACUUCAAAAAAGAAGAUGAUUACGUCCUACGCGUCAUGCAUUUAGUCAUGCAUAUUAACCAAUGACUUAAAUUCUGCCAAGUCACUGGUUUUCCUGGCUAGCUCAGGCAACCCAUUCCAUGCUCUAAUAGCACUAGGGAAGCAAGCAUAAGUAGAAAUAAGCCUAUCAUCUUGUAUGUAGACAUACCAUUAUCAGGUAUUUAAGCAUCAAAAAGUUUGUAGACAUGAACAAUAACUAGACUUCAAAAAAUGUCUGUAAUCAUAGGAUAUCAACUAUUUUCUUCCUUGUAAAUACAUUUUUGUCUAUACAAGUUGUAUUUUUCAACAUAAUAUGUAGUGAAUUUAUAAAGAUGUUGUCACUUAUACUUAUCAACUGUAUCUCUCCUAAUUAACGAUACCAUCGUUGAUUUGACACCAUUAAAUUUAAUUAAUUUUUGGUUUUAUAAACUUUAUUUUUUUUUGUUAUAUAAAAAGAGCAUGCAUUCUCAUAUAAUUCUAUACCAAAAGUAAUGUUUUCAGGAUAGAAUGUACAAAUGUGAAAAAUGAACAAUUCAGUCAGAACAUGGAAAAAUAAUUACGGAGAUAAAGAAUUAAUACUCUUACGUGAUAUGAUUGACUGGUUUUGUUAUUAGCAUCUUAUGAACUUACAAUUUUUUUAUAUUUCAGAUGUUUUAAAAGCCCAUUGGUAUGUCUAUAUUUUUCUAUACAAUAGCAGUCAUCCAUAAAUCUUAUUUUACGGACUGAUACGCAAAUGAACUACCAAAUAUCAAGCAUAUUAAAGUCUGAACAGUUAAACCUCCAAUCAAAACAUACUUUGAAUGUCAUAUCAAAUUCGAAGUAGAUUGAAUGACACGACACAGUUAUCAUGCGAGAGCAGGAAAGACGUUCACUCGUCUCAGAAGGGACAGGCCAGGACUCAACACAUGUACACAAUGACAAGCUUGAGAAACGGCAACUAAGUGGCCAUGACACCAGGAACACUGACACUGCAAUAUCUGUUCUUGAUAUUAUAUCCUUAAUAUAUCCUUUAAGUGGCAGGCUGAUUGUAACUGUUGGUUUGUGUGUAUCUUUAGACAUCACAUGAUCCUUCUUCCCAAUAUAAUAUAUAUAGAUCUAGGUCUUUGUUCUGAACUCACAUUUUCUUACAUAGGUAAUACAGCCAAAAAAAAAAAAAAAAGGUUAAGAGUAAGAUCACAGACCUACAUAAUCUAGAUUAGAUUUUCGAAACGCGACAUAUUUUGUUAUCUCUAUGGAAACUAAAAGGAAAUAAGUUAUGAUUAUAUCAUAGAUUUGCGUGAAUAUAUUUCUGAAGUUGUGAUUAAUAGAUCUAUCCACUUCUAGACUAGAUCUAUUUUAAAUCCGCGAAAUGGGAUUGUAUUAUUUUUAAACUUUAAAAACUAAAGAUCAUUAUUUUUCUGAGACGUAACUACAAAGAGUAAGACUAAGAGUGAUAAUGAUAUCCUGGAAUGCUGGAUUAAGUUUAAGAUCCAAAAGGCCAAGGUGAAUUCCCUUCUAACUUCUUCACAACACAAAUUGUCGUAUUAGAUCUAGAUCUAUAAGAUGAAACCAUGUUGGUCAUUAGUCAUUGAUGUUUAAAAUUGUAAUAGCCUACUACUAGAGUCUCAGUCUAUCUACUAUCUAGUAAGCCAUAGAGUUGAUAAAGUAAGCUUACACUGUUACACUAGAAACAAACAGAUAAGUUUAAAAGUCAGGCCACUGAUUUUAGAGAUUUAAUGUUAUUUAAUUAAGAUUCAAAACAUAAAUGAAAAAAUUACAAUGAGACUAAUAAAGCUUAAACUGACCCCAUGGUACCAAACACAGGAUUUUUUUUAUAGUACUGGUAACUGAGGAAGGUUUAUUACAGGCAUGAGUUUGAUCUUUUUGAAACUAAUUCCUAAAAAAAAAUGUUUCCUAGGCAACUUCAAAACUAUGGUACUUUGUCAACUAUCCAGAGAUUCAGGGAAUGAAAUCUUAGACUUAUUUAUUUAAGAUGUUACUUCAGAGUUGAAAACAACUACAUUUUAGCUUGAACGUCCCACAAGAAGAUGUGGGGUGGCAGCACGCAGGGGUCUAACCUAGGAUCAUGGAGACCACCAAACGAUAGACCAGAGUGUAUAUGAUUAAUUGAGUAGACAAAGAAAGGAUGGAUUACUGGAGCUAAAAGAAGGCAUAAUUUAACAAUAGACUACUUUGGGAUAUGGAAUGAGAGAGGCUAUAGUGUUGAUUAUAUAAAUAUGUAGGUCUCAGCUGGGGCUGCACAGCCAUGGGAAAUACUGCAUUCCUAACUUAUCUUAGGACUUAUUAUAAAGUUUGUACAUUUUGGAAAGUGUUAUGCAAAAGUGAUUCUGUGCUGCCAUUAUCCAAGGACAUAUGAUUCUCUGGAGGCUUACAUCACUGGAAAAAGUCUUUGGGCCCCUGAAGAUUACAGUACAUGUAAUGCUGCAAAAGGAGGAGGAUGCUGGGCCAGGCACAUACAACUCAAUUUACUUCUAUUGGCUGGAAAUAUUUAAAGCAUGACAGUGGCGUAGGUAAAUUACCAAAUAGUGGAUCUUAUGUUGGAUUGAUCAGCCCUGAUGAACUGACCUGACCAUUGUAAUUGAAACCAUAACUCAUGACCACUCUAUCUGUAUAGGUCCUGGUAUACCCUGGGAUGAUGUUCACCCACAACUUUUAACUUGAAAUCUUAAAGGAAGUUUGGCUAAACUAACAAGCAUGAAUGUCUGGUACAGUAAGAUAGGGUUAAUGGUCAACCUGACAUUAUGGUUCAUUCAUUUGGGACAGCUAAUGGGUACAAAUGCACUUGGAGCUUUUGAUGGUGUUCUGUUCAAUGCAACAAUUCCCACAUCUCCAGCAGCUGGCUUUGCAGCUAUUGGCGCAGACAGCUAUGGCUUGGAUGAUUUUGAUAAUUAUCUGCUUCCGCUCUUCAAAACUCAAACGCACGUCUGCCAUGUUGCAGUUAAUUCCUUGCCACUCCGGUACUGUGUGUGGUACAGAACCACCUUCACAUUUAUUUUUCUAAUUAGACAUUAAGCUUUCCAUGUGCUGAAAUUUAGCAGCAAAUUGUCUAUGACAGUUCAAAGUGUGUAUACAUUUUUUUGGGCGCACCCUGUAUAUAUAUUGUAUUCAGUGAUUUUUUACCAUUUUCUAAUAUUAGUUUGUUAGCUCAAUAACUAUUAACCUUUUAGAUUAUCUUUCGUAAUGUUAAGACUAGAAAACAAGAUCUCAAAAUUAUAUUUAGGAUGAUGAUUACAAUUACUUAGAUAAAAUAAUUAUAAAACAAAAGUUAGAUAAAAUAAUUAUAAAACAAAAGUUAGAUAAAAUAAUUAUAAAACAAAAGUUAGAUAAAAUAAUUAUAAAACAAAAGUUAGAUAAAGACAUAAUUAUACAAUGUUUAUGUUUUGUAUGUUCAUAAAAAUGUGUAUAGCAGUGUUAUGGAGUGUGUGUGUGGGUGUUUCCAAGGUAACGUUGAGAAAUUAGCGAUUGGUUGGUGGAUAUGCAGUGAGGAUGGUGAAAUUACAAAAAUGGUCUAGUGUAAUGCAAAUUACCCAGGGAUCUGAAACUGUACAGACAGGUUUUUUGUAGUGAGUUAGAUUUUGUUUAAAAUACCAUUUUAUAUUAUUGCUACUAGAUUUAUUUCAUUUCAUCUAGGUUAGUAUUAGGGUUAGUGUUAUGUUGUAAUAAAAGUUAUAUUUAGUUUUGUUUCAUAAAAAGAAGAUUUUUCAAGUUUCACAAUUAAAUAUAUAUAUAUAUAUCCAAGCAGUAGUUCUCACCAAACUUUCAUACACUGGCAGAACUACCUUAAAAAAAUGUUCUGCUGGAGGCUGGUGUGGGUAGUAUAGAAGAAAUACUUAUUCAACAGCUGUGAUAGGUUGGAAAAUUAUCCCACAUGGGGGGCGACUGCAUGCCAAAUCGUAUCUUCAAGGAUGGCGUAACGGGGUACUCCUGUAAGCACUAUAAAGAUUAACUCAGGCACCUUUUUGCCAUAGAGGAAAGUAGGUUGUAAUAGGGUUUAUGAAAACACUGCACUCAUCUUUUAUCUUCAGCAUCAUUAUUAUUAUUAAACCAUUACUCAAAUUUUGCUUUGUUAUUUUGCCAUGUAGCGAUUUACUGCUGCUGGGGUGAACAAUGCUUAAAAAAAUACAAAUAUGCUGUGUUUUUACUUUGGCCCAGCUGUGGCUCCCACAUUUAUGUCUUUUGUAUUUUUCUAUACCAGUUCUGUUACUGUGCAAAUGCAAAAAAAAAAAUGCAAGUUGUUGCACUAUUGAUAUUUUUUAUAUUCAUUUUUUAUUUAUAUUAUUAAUUAUUUAUUAUUAUCUAAGCAUCUGUUUGUAUUUGAGCUGGGUAAUGAAUAAAGAUUCUAAAAUUUAA